CAGCCGCCGCGGGAAAACGAAGGGGGCUAGCGUUGUCCGGAAUUAUUGGGCGUAAAGCGCGCGCAGGUGGUUUAAUAAGUCUGAUGUGAAAGCCCACGGCUCAACCGUGGAGGGUCAUUGGAAACUGUUAAACUUGAGUGCAGGAGAGAAAAGUGGAAUUCCUAGUGUAGCGGUGAAAUGCAUAGAGAUUAGGAGGAACACCAGUGGCGAAGGCGGCUUUUUGGCCUGUAACUGACACUGAGGCGCGAAAGCGUGGGGAGCAAACAGGAUUAGAGACCCCCGUAGUCCCUGUCUCUUAUAC
rnacentral:rRNA from 1 species